UUUCAUUUCUGAUUUCUCACUCAGCCUUCCAACACCGACAGCAUUCCUUCGAAUCGUCUCUGACUCUCCAGCCGCCCAGCCUUCCUUCACGAAUCGCCACCGCCACGCCAAAGCAUCAAAGACUGAACUCUCCAGCCUUCCUUCAUGAAUCGUCUCCGACUCUUGCGAUCUCUCUCUCACGGACAGAACUCUCGAUCUAGCACCGAGUCCGAGUCUCACUCUCACCCCAAAUUAGGGAGAAGUGUUAGUAGGUUUAGCACUGCUGUAGCAACUGAGGAGUUAAUCAUUUCACCUGUUCAAACUUCAAAUUAGUCACACGCUGCGUCAGCUCGACCACCGCUAAACCCUGAUUCUCCUUCCCCAUCGUGUCUGAACCAGUACGAGCUCGUCAACUCCGCCGCCAUUGCCAAAACCUGUGCUCAAACAAUAACUUGGGGGAAGCCAAUACUGAGAUCUAUUUCUCCUUCUCUUUGUACUUCUCACUUCCAAAUGAACCAGAAGAAUAUCAAGAAGGCCUUGAAGAAGGCAGGCUUUAAUAAUACCUUAUCAAGUAAGUUUGCUCCGAUGUUCUAUGUCGUAAGAGCAGAAUGCGUACGCCAAACCAGGCCAAACGAAGAACGACACAAAACGCAAAGGGAAAAAAAAGUUGCAAUUAAGGAAGAAAAUGCUGACUGAGCGAGCCUCCCCAGCCGGCAACUGCACAAAUUUCACGGCAUAUUAUUGAUUUGUAAAAAUUGAAGCAAAACCAGAAUAAGCAAAUGUGAAAAUUUUGACUUCAAUUUUGAAAGCAAUCUGGUAAUUUAGCAUUGCUUUACAAACUGGUAGUUUCUUAUUUUGCUUUUCAUUUUUCUUUUGAUUUUGGCCUGUGAGGAUGGUGUAAUUCCUUCUAGCAGAUCUCUUCUUGCUCUUGACCUUACAAUUUGAUGCUACUCUUGAAUCAUGUAUUUCUUCCGUUGGCAAAAAUUUUGGUAUAUUUUUUA